AAGUCGUAACAAGGUCUCCGUAGGUGAACCUGCGGAAGGAUCAUUAUCACGUUUUCUCCAAACGUAUUCGACAACGCGUUAUGUUAUUUUAUCUCCCGUGUGAACUACAUGUAUCGGCCUUACACGCUAACUGAGGGUAUGGGAUGGGUUUAGUCGAGAGGCUAUCCGAACUCAGACGUGGACAUUACGAUAGUAGUAGGGACGCGGCUAGCUGUGAAUGAGUAGGCCCCUCUAUCCCAGGGUCAAAAGUUUGCGGCACCCCAUUUUUCUUUAACAAUUUUCACCCCUUUUUUGCUAGUUGACUUUAUCUGCUCGUACACUCUCUUCAUUGAGAGGUGCAGCACGUUUAAUUUCUUAAUUGAACGUUAAAAUACAAUACAACUCUUAGCAAUGGAUAUCUUGGUUCUC
rnacentral:misc_RNA from 1 species